CUCUCUCUCUCUCUCAUCUCUCUUCCUCUCUCUGUCUCUCUGGUUUUCUUUGUAGAUGAACAGUCAUAGACUAUUGGAUGCAGAAUUCAAAAUUCUUAGCUAAGACAAAAUUGAUUGAGUAAUGAUUUAGAGAGAGAGAAUGAGGGGGAAGAGAGGGAAUAGUAUUCUUGAGCGCAUGAUAUUGAUAACUUCUCUUGUGGGUUGGGUUUUGUUUUAGCUUUGAGAGAAAGCUUUGCUUGUUGGGUUUUGUUUUGUGUUGGUGUUUCUUUCUUUCUUUUCUUGGUUUCUUUUGGAUGGGUGCAGAGGGAGGAGAGUCUGCAGUAGAAGUGUUGAAAAAGGAGAAAGAUGGGAGAGACAAGAGAGAGCAGUGGGGGUGCAGUUGUAUACAGCAGUACUAUACAAGUUGGUCUAGCUGCAUACACAAAAAUUCUCCUUACAAGUAAAAAAAAUCUUGUACCUUAACAAAGCCAAAAAAAAAAAAAUUAAAGAGAAGCAUUUCUUGAGCUCCUAAAGGAUCUCUCACUAAAAUCCACAAGCUAGCUCGCCCACACACAAAAGACUAAUAAAGAAGUGGAAGAUUUGAUCUCUAAACAGAAGAUCUGGUUUUUGUUCUAGAGUUCUUUUCUUUAUUUCUUUCAGAGUCAUGAAGAGACUUGGCAGCUCUGAUUCCCUUGGUGCUUUGAUGUCCAUCUGCCCAACCACAGGUUCUUAUUCAGAACCCAUUAAUUUCUAACUUUUAAUGCUUCAUGUCAAAAAUUUAGACACAACCCAUGUGCUUGUCUUCUUCUUUCUGAAUAUCAUUACCUUGAAUUCUAACUAUUUCUUUUCCUUUUCAAGACUUGCCAAUAUGCUUUUACCUUUCGCUUUAUUCUCUUGGGUAUAAAGCUUUGAUUCAUCCACUAACUUCUUUGUUCUUUCUUAAUUAUUUGUCUUUAGACGAGCAUAGUCCGAGAAACGGCAACCAUGUUUAUGGGAGAGAAUUUCAAUCCAUGUUGGAUGGCUUAGAUGAAGAAGCUUGUGUAGAAGAAUCAGGCCAUGUCGCCGAGAAGAAACGGCGAUUAAGUGUAGAUCAAGUCAAGGCCUUGGAGAAGAACUUUGAGGUUGAAAACAAGCUUGAACCAGAGAGAAAAGUGAAGCUUGCCCAAGAACUUGGCUUGCAACCAAGACAAGUGGCUGUUUGGUUUCAAAACCGCCGUGCCCGUUGGAAAACCAAGCAAUUGGAAAGAGACUAUGGUGUUCUCAAAGCCAAUUACGAAGCUCUUAAAGUCAAUUUUGAGUCCCUCCAACAUGACAAUGAAGCUCUACUCAAAGAGGCAAGUACAUAUUUAUCGCCAUCUUUAGUCCUUACUGUCAAGUCAGUGCCCUUGAGAGUUUAUUUUUCUUACUUCUAAAAGCAAGACAAGCUGAACUUUUCAACACUGUUUGUGUUGCAGAUAAAAGAAAUGAAGGCGAAGCUAAACGAAGAGAACGCAGAUAGCAAUGUUUCUGUCAAAGAAGAAAUAAUCUUGGCCGAAUCCGAUGACAAGGCGAGUGAAGAGCCACCACUUCUUGCUUCAGUCUCCGCAUCAGAGAUAAAAGACCUGAAUUAUGAGAGCUUCAACAGCAACAACAAUGGAGUACUAGGGGCUUCUCUUUUCCCAGACUUGAAAGAUGGAUCGUCAGACAGCGAUUCAAGCGCGAUCUUAAACGAAGAUAACAGUCCGAAUCCAGCCAUUUCCUCAUCCGGGAUUCUCCAAAACCACCAGUUAAUGAUGUCUCCUCCACCAGCAACAUCAUCGUUCCAGUUCACAAAAGCGACAGCAUAUCAAACCCAGUUCGUGAAGAUGGAAGAGCACAAUUUCUUUAGCAGUGAGGAGGCAUGCAAUUUCUUCUCAGAUGAACAAGCCCCUACUCUUCAAUGGUACUGUCCAGAUCAAUGGAAUUAAAGAAACAUCGAAAAAAGAAAGAAAAAAGUGGACAGUGGUUCUGGUGACAUGGUAUCUUAGCUCCAAGGAUCUUGUAAAAUGGAAGUGAAGUAUCUUUGUAAUCUAAAGCUCUUUACUUUGGUCUCCAUUGAGGCAAAAAUGAAAAUUGGAGAACUAGGUUCAUGAGCACUGGUCAAAGGAAGAAGGAAGAACAUAAAGAAAGAAUCAAAGGAAGGGUCAAGAGGAUGGACAAAAAUGGUAAAAAAAUUAUAUCUAUAUAUAUAUAUAUAUAUAUAAAGAAACUAUCUACUAGUUGUUAGGCCGCAUAUAAUGUGCAAAUUCAACUAAAUGUUAUAAGAAACAUUAUAUUUGAUCACUGUAAGAUAUUUAUGAAUUGUGUUAUGAGUGAAUUUAUUGUGUGAAUUUUUUAAAGUUAAUUAGUUUGUAAUUUAUUAUAUUGACCACGUUGAACGAAUAUGAAGUAAAAGGGAAAUGUAUAAAUAGUU
rnacentral:misc_RNA from 1 species